GAAUCUUGCGCAAUGGGCGAAAGCCUGACGCAGCCACGCCGCGUGGGGGAAGAAGCCCUUCGGGGUGUAAACCUCUUUCGACAGGAAAGAACGUGCCAUGGAUGCAGGUUCAUGGUGCUGACGGUACCUGUUAAAGAAGCUCCGGCUACCUCCGUUCCCGCAGCCGCGGUAAGACGGAGGGAGCGAGCGUUGUUCGGAAUCACUGGGCGUAAAGGGCGCGUAGGCGGCGGAUCAAGUCUUGCGUGAAAGCCCCGGGCUCAACCCGGGAAGUGCGCGGGAUACUGGUUUGCUGGAGGAUCGGAGGGGAGAGCGGAAUUCCUGGUGUAGCGGUGAAAUGCGUAGAUAUCAGGAGGAACAUCGGUGGCGAAGGCGGCUCUCUGGACGAUACCUGACGCUGAAGCGCGAAAGCGUGGGGAGCAAACGGG
rnacentral:rRNA from 1 species